GGUGGAGUAGAGUGCGGUGCACAUUUUCGGAUACGAAAGAGGCGUUUUUGCUCACGAGCUUGAAAUCGAUGAAUGGGUUGAAGCUGGAAACUGCAUGCAACCAGAUCCGGAGGCUUUGCUUUGUGCUCCUAGUAAUGUGGCUGUGGACCAACUAGCUGAAACAAAAAGUGCAAACUGGGCUGAAGGGGAAGUCAUUUUCUCUGCUGUUUCCGAUUGAAGUUAGAAACAUUCACAAAGCCAAACAUGGCAGCGACUCAGGUGUCUACGACAGUGAAAAAGCAGGAAAUGCAUGAAACCAAAAACUAGAUGUGAAGCUACUUUACAUUUGUGGGAGACAGUUCUUCAAGGAGAAUUGGAAGGUCCUGCUCUAUGCUCACGGUAUCUUGGUUCUGGCAAAGGAAAGAAAGCCAAAUUAAGUUCCUUGGCUUGCGGUUUUCGCUGUCAUUCAUUUUGAUAGAAAGAAGUAUACGGAUUGUUGAAGAAUAUAAAGGUGUACGUAGUGGUGGA